UACGAAGGGGGGCUAGCGUUGCUCGGAAUUACUGGGCGUAAAAGGCGCGUAGGCGGACAGUUAAGUCGGGGGUGAAAGCCCGGGGCUCAACCUCGGAAUUGCCUUCGAUACUGGCUGUCUUGAGUAUGGGAGAGGUGUGUGGAACUCCGAGUGUAGAGGUGAAAUUCGUAGAUAUUCGGAAGAACACCAGUGGCGAAGGCGGCUCACUGGACCCGGUAUUGACGCUGAGGUGCGAAAGCGUGGGGAGCAAACAGG
rnacentral:rRNA from 1 species